UAAUAUCACUUCGAGUCAUCUGUUGCGGUUCAUGAUAUCUGCUGCAGUGACCAUCCUGCUUUCUCCUGAGGCAUGGUUUGUAGUUAUUUGUAAUCUUGCGAAUCGACGAGAAAUAAUACACUACUACUACUUUAGUUUAAUAUUUAGAGAUAUAAAAAAAAAAAAAAAAAUUGUAAAUUUUUUUUUUCUCCCAGUAGGAGGAGAAUGUGACGUUCCGUCACUUAUCUAAUUAAUUAUUAAUGGGAACACCUUAUUGGAUUAUUGUUAAAAUUAUUUUCUUAUAAUAUUAAAAACCCGUUCGCACAAAAUUCCCUUAGCGACGUCAUACUGGGUGUAUCGUAGCCACAUUGAUAUUUCGUGAGGUUGGUACUGACGCCUGUCGCCAGCUGUCACGAGGUCGGAACGGUGAAGGGAGGCCAUUGACUUGGGAGUGUCAUGUGAGUGCAGAUGGCGGCGUGAAUUUCUUUGUAAAUUAAAUAAGUUAUUUCCUGUUGCAUAGUUCAAUUAUUGCUAUUGCAAGUUAUAUUUGUUUUUUUUGGGUGAAUUAAAGUGACGGAAUAAUGGAACUGUAAGAAAACGGAUCUCACGCCGCCAUUCUGGAGAAAUCUCAUUACUGAUGGUAAACCCUCUCUAACACUGAGAGCAGACACUUCCAACGUUCGAUCAAUCAGGGAACAAGCCAAAGGAUACCGUCUCCCAUUUGUUUUUGUAUUGAUUCAUCAUCCUGCACCCUCCGAGGGUAGUUUCAUUAGCUAUUGGGCAGUUGCACCACUUCGGUGAUAACUUCGUUCCACGGAUUUGGUACCAGACACCAAGGAUCGUUGUUGGAACAUGUGAAAAGGGGUUUGUUUUGGGGGACAUUUGUUCAUACCAGUUAAAUACAUAUUUUUUUUUUCUAGUAAUAUUCAGGACAUUUCAUACUUUCAUAAUUUAAUUACACAUAUAUGUUUUUCUUUCUCCACAAAUUUAAGUACAUUUUAGAUAUAACAGCCAUACCUUACAGUUAGUAGUGUUCCCCAAAUUUAUAUAAUUCCUGGUAGAAGUUUCGAGCUCGAAUAUUCUCCACCUACAUGUUCUUUUCACUUGGUUUGUAUUAAUUUUAGACUUGUUUCCUCAUUUAAUUUAAAAAUAAUAUUAGUUCAAUUCACCUAAAUUUAAAAUCAUUUAACUUGCUUCAUAAUUUUCAAUUUUUAUUAGAUUUUUUGGUAAAUAUUAUUUAACUUUCGCUAUUAAACUUUUUAUAUUAAAUUCGAAUAAAUCCCUAGUACCCAUCCCCUCAGGAAGGUACUAGUUUU